AACGAACGUUGGCGGCGUGGAUUAGGCAUGCAAGUCGAGCGAAUCCCCGCAAGGGGGGAAGCGGCGAAAGGGGCAGUAAGGCAUGGGUAACCUACCCUGGGGACUGGGAUAGCCCUUCGAGGGAAGGGGUAAUACCGGGCGACGUGUCGGGCCGGCAUCGGUCUGCCACCAAAUGAAUUUCGCCCAGGGAGGGGCCCAUGUGAUAUUAGCUAGUUGGUGAGGUAACGGCUCACCAAGGCGAAGAUGUCUAGCGGGUGUGAGAGCACGACCCGCGCCACUGGCACUGAGACACUGGCCAGACACCUACGGGUGGCUGCAGUCGAGGAUCUUCGGCAAUGGGCGCAAGCCUGACCGAGCGACGCCGCGUGUGCGAUGAAGGCCUUCGGGUUGUAAAGCACUGUCGAGAGGGAGAAAAGCGAAAGCUUGAUCUAUCUCUGGAGGAAGCACGGGCUAAGUUCGUGCCAGCAGCCGCCGUAACAC
rnacentral:rRNA from 1 species